CUCGUAGGUGGCCAACUAAGUCAGACGUGAAAUCCCUCGGCUUAACCGGGGAAUUGCGUCUGAUACUGGAUGGCUUGAGGUUGGGAGAGGGAUGCGGAAUUCCAGGUGUAGCGGUGAAAUGCGUAGAUAUCUGGAGGAACACCGGUGGCGAAGGCGGCAUCCUGGACCAAUUCUGACGCUGAGGAGCGAAAGCCAGGGGAGCAAACG
rnacentral:rRNA from 1 species